AUGUUCUCCUCAUUUUAUUUUCUGUUUUGUAAGUUUCUCUUUUCGUCAUGUUUCAUCCUGCUAUCUUCCUCCUCCUCCUGGAGCAGAGGAGCCUUUCCCUUGAGGAUCAUACAAGACUAUUUGUGGAAAUCGCUAACCAUACCCACUACCCGGACUACUGCCUCUGCACUUCAGACCAGCCUUAAUGACAAGUGCAGAGUGCGGUUGUCCGGAGAUGGUCCUCAGGGUAAUUUUGUCGCCUUUGUGGAGUGGGUGCUGGUGUCCUGUGGAUCGCCUCUGACUGUGGACAUCGCUAAAGACACCAACCUCACUCCGGACCCAGAGCUCAGCCUACCAUCUCCCUGCUGCACGGAGCCUAAGCCAGAGGCCACUGCUGACAGAGAUCCAGAGCCUGCCAUGACCGAACCAUCGCCAUGGAGAGCAACAGAGCUGAGGAUCGCCUCAGAGCUUAAGCCUGACCCAACAGACCAGGUGCGAGAGCCGGCAACAGAGCUCGCCAUGGUGGAGAAUGCUAUGAACAGCGAGAGCGUAGAAGAAAGCUCCGCCUACUGCAUCAUGGCUGAGGGAGAACAGGGCUCUAUUGACAGUAAUGAGAAUCUUAUUAAUCUGGAUAUAGAUGCAUACAUGUCUGUUCUGCUUCUGCCUUUAUCAGAGCUCUUUAGCUACCCUGAACUAUAUACGUGCCUGGAUUUCCCACCCACCCUCCCUCUCCUGCUGCCUCCUAUCAUCCCUACCGCUUCAGCUCAGCCACCGCUGUGUCCUUGCAGCCCCUCAGCUCACCCUCAGCCCACCAUCUGUGCGCUGGAUUUGCUGCUGGUCUGCCACUCUCCAUCGGCUUCGUGGCUGGAGGAUCCCUUGUCUCCGCCUCCAGCCCCUGAAUCCCGGGCUCCGCCUUGGCCCUGCAAACCAGUGGCUCCACCAUGGCUUCUAGCUCCCUCCUCUCCACCAUGGCCCGUCAGUCCACCAGCUCUGCUGGGCUCCCAUGUCCCUCCGGCUCGGCCUUGGUCUGUCAUUGACCAUUUGCCGUCUCGGGACUCCACUCCUCCGGCUCCACCUUGUCCCUCCAUCCCUCUGGCUCUGUCAGGCUCCUCCUGCCCUCUGGCUCCACCUCAGUUCUCCGUCGCUCCGGCUCCACUGCGGCCUUCCGGAUCCCUGCCUCCGCCUCAGUCACCGGCACCAUCUGUUCUGCCUUGGCCCUCCAGAUCCUCUGUGUCACCCUGGCUCAUUGGCUCUCCUUCUCUGCCUCGGGCUCCUGCUCCGCUGCCGUCGGUCAGUCCCCCGGAGUCGUCGGCCCUUCCUCCUGCUCUGGCUCCCUCCUGUUUUCUUCCUGGCUCCUUCCUCCAUCGUCACCUCCCUGGACUCUGUUGGUCGUCCUCCCUCCCGGGACUCCAUCCUUUGCCCAAGUCUCCACCUGUACGGUUUUCCUGCCAGGCCUUGGCCAUUCCUCCGUCUCCUUCCUUCUCUACGGUGCAGGGUCAUGCCUUCCAGGAGGGGGGUGAUCUGUCACACCCCAGGACUGUUUUCAUUCCUCAUGUUCUCUGUGUGAACUAG
ensembl:lncRNA